GUAUAUUUAAGUUGCUGCAGUUAAAAAGCUCGUAGUUGAAUUUAUUAAGAUAUUUUUUAGUCGGGAAGAAAUUUAUUUUUUUUCUUUAGACAAGGAAGUAUUCUUUACGUAUUACUACAUUUACACAAAAAAAUACUCAGGUAUUUUUUUGUGGCGCCAGUAAUGGUUUUUUGUAGUAGAGUUACUGUGAGUAAAUUAAAAUGUUCAACGUAGGCGGUCGCUAUGAAUAUAUUAGCAUGGAAUAACAUUAUAGUACUUCUAUCUAUUUUCUGACCUGUUAGAAAGGAGUAACGAUUAAUAGGGACAGUUGGGGGCAUUCGUAUUUCAUUGUCAGAGGUGAAAUUCUUAAAUUGAUGAAAGACGAACUACUGCGAAGGCAUUUGUCAAGGAUGUUUUCAUUAAUCAAGAACGAAAGUUGGGGGCUCGAAGACGAUUAGAUACCGUCCUAGUCCCAACCAUAAACGGUGCCGACCAGGGAUCGGCGUGUGUUAAAUUUUGAUAACCGCGUCGGCAUCUUGCGAGAAAUCAGAGUUUUUGGGUUCCGGGGGGAGUAUGGUUGCAAGGCUGAAACUUAAAGGAAUUGACGGAAGGGCACCACCAGGCGUGGAGCAUGCGGCUUAAUUUGACUCAACACGGGGAAACUUACCAGGUCCAGACAUAGAAAGGAUUGACAGAUUGACAGCUCUUUCUUGAUUCUACGGGUGGUGGUGCAUGGCCGUUCUUAGUUGGUGGGUUGCCUUGUCUGGUUGAUUCCGGUAACGAACGAGACCUUCGCCUACUAAUUAGUUGUACCAGCUCUAGUGUGCUAAGCAACUUCUUAGAGGGACUUUUGCCCUAGAGGCAACGGAAGCAGAAGGCCAUAACAGGUCUGUGAUGCCCUUAGAUGUUCUGGGCUGCACGCGCGCUACAAUGAUGUAUGCAGUAGGCUAUCCUUUUGCGGAAGCAGAAGGGAAUCUUAUAAUCUACAUCGUGAAGGGGAUAGAUCCUUGUAAUUCUUGAUCUUGAACGAGGAAUGCCUCGUAAGCAUGAGUCAUCAACUCAUGCUGAUUACGUCCCUGCCCUUUGUACACACCGCCCGUCGCUCCUACCGAUUGGGUGUGCUGGUGAAACUUUUAGAUUGGUACAGUUUUACUUCGUUGUCAAACGCAUAAGCUGAGCUGAAAAUUCUGUUGAACCCUCACAUCUAGAGGAAGGAGAAGUCGUAAC
rnacentral:rRNA from 1 species